rnacentral:lncRNA from 1 species
CGGCAGCCCCAGGUCCCGGGUCCCUCAGACAAAAGGGCGGGUGGAGGAGGAGUAGCCGAGCCCAGAGUCCUGCUCCGGCGCCGCCGAGCACCGCCCGCCUCAGCCGACCAGCCCCGUCGGCUACUGGGCCUAGCCGAGACCAGAGGAAGGAAAUGCCCCGGAGGCCACGACGAGGCGGCGGGGGCGCAGGCGGCCGGCUGCCGCCUAGUUGUGCUGCCCGGACCAAGGAAAGAGAAGUGGGAGGAGCGGGGAGCUCGGCGACCCUCCCGCCGUGGCGGUCGCAGCGCCGGCAGCUCGGGCCUCAGCCCCUGACGCUGUGGUGACUCCGCCGCGCCUCGCCGUCGCCCCUGUCCCCGUCCCGCCCGCCGCCCCGGCCACCCCCGCCACCCCCGCCGCCGGGGACAUGUCCAACCCCGGAAGCCGGAGAAACGGGCCAAACUGCGCUUGACAAGACUUCCUGAUCCAUUUGCUAAGGUGGUGGUUGAUGGAUCUGGGCAAUGCCAUUCUA